rnacentral:rRNA from 1 species
CAGUCGCCACGGUAAUACGGAGGGGGCUAGCGUUGUUCGGAAUUACUGGGCGUAAAGCGUGCGUAGGUGGUGGUUUAAGUCCGUUGUGAAAGCCCUGGGCUCAACCUGGGAACUGCAGUGGAUACUGGGUCACUAGAGUGUGGUAGAGGAUAGUGGAAUUUCCGGUGUAGCAGUGAAAUGCGUAGAGAUCGGAAGGAACAUCUGUGGCGAAGGCGACUAUCUGGGCCAACACUGACACUGAGGCACGAAAGCGUGGGGAGCAAACAGGAUUAGAUACCCCCGUAGUCCCUGUCUCUUAUAU